GACCAGCCUCUGUAGUAUGCAUCAAUGCAAAAGCAUAAGUACAAAAUACUGCAACAGGAAUUGGAAAUGUAAAAGUGAUACAUUGAGAGCUGCCAUAAACGAAACCAUAUUCUGAUAAUAAAUGAAAGCAAGGACAACUUCAAAGUCCAACAUAAAUAAAUUUAAUGCGGUUCUCAGUCCGGACUAAGAUACAGGAGACAAGAACACAGAAUGUGGUGUACUUUUAUAGAAAGAUAAGGUCCUAAGACUCUUACUGUCAAAGCCUAACUCGUUAACGGCAGACAUAAACUGUUGAUGGAGCUCAACUGACCAAACCAGGCGCGGCUUCUUUAACCUCUUUUCCGCUUCUUCUUCCUCAUCUUUCCUCCUGUUUGAGCUUCCUUCAUUUACUGAGUAAGAGUCAUCCGAUUCUUCAAAUGGUUUUGGUUGCUGAGCUCCCCCUUCCACACUUCCAGAAUGCUCCAAGUCCUUCCGCUCGUUCUUCCUCUUCCGAACCACAUGCCGCCAUAUGUUCUUCAGUUCCUCAAUUCGCACUGGCUUAGUUAAAUAAUCACAAGCAUCGUGAGUAACACCUUUCAUGACAACUUCAUUGCUACCAUGUGCACACAUCACUGUACAAUUGCACAAAUCAGAUUCAAUUCACAGAAUCAAAGUCCUCAAAAGAAAGUCAUUGAGUAGGCUGCUUACUGAUAACCGGCAGGUCCAUCUCCAGCCCGACCAGCUCAAGGAGUUUGAAUCCAUCCAUAUCUGGCAUAUGAACAUCACUGAUAACAAUGUCGUACCCAUUCUUGUUCGUUCGAAGCAUAUCCAAAGCAAUCUCUGCUCGAUUGCAUUUUGUAACUGAAAACCCCAUGUUAAGCUUAAUCAACAAUUCAUACGGUUACUUGAUUACACAACUUUAAAUCUACAGAAAGUACAGGCCUACAAAAUAACUCUCUUGAUCCACAUAUGAACAAAUCAAAUCACCGACUGAUUACCGAAACAAGCAGAAACUUUCAAAGUAACUUUAAAAUUAGCUAACAUAGGAUACUUGAAAACAUAAUAUAAUAGAUUUGAAAAAUAAGACUAAAUCUGGUAAAUUUCAUUUUAUUCUCAUUUCCACUGCAAACCAACAGCAAAAUCAUAUCAAGCACUGAAGAAACACAAAAGAAGAACAUUCAAAGUCAACUACAUGCAGUAAAACACCCCAAAUGGAUGGGAAAAAAAAAUAUACAAAGAACACAGAAAUGAAAUUAUAAGACAUAAGACAAGAAGCUUGAAUAGCGGUUGAGCCAUUUGCAUGAGUAAAGGGCUACUCUGGCCACUUGGGUUUCCAUGGGCACUGGCUUGCAUGUUCAAGCUGCCGGGGGAUUGAGCAGAAUGGUGCAAAUUGACAAGUUGUUUCGAAUCCAUGGUUGUUGGAAUUCCAUGUAGUAAGUUCAUUUGUUUGCCACUGCUCAUAUGUUGUGGUUGCCCUUCUCCAAAUCUUAACUUCUGAUUAUCAAAGCUAAAAAUGUUCCUUUGAUCAACAAGAGGCAUUGGUAACCCAGGCUUUGCAGCUGACCUUGCAAGUCCUGCUGCUUGAAGUGUGGCGAGACUUUGAGCUGGAAUUUGACCAGUGGCAGCAAGAGUUUGAAAGUCAAGCCCACUAAGCGAAGACAGGGAACCAUAAGGUGGUUCUUGGGAAUGGGAACUGAUAAAUUAAUUGCCCUGGUGCGGUGACACUCCACUUAGUCUUCUAAGAUACAGAUGAUAUUUCUGCACCACACGGUUGAAUAGUUAGACUAACCGAAGAAAAAGGAUAAUUCAGGAACAUAACCAUUCUAUUGUGUAUGCAAGUUAACAAAGAAAUAAAAGUUUAAAAUUUCUAUAUCCUGCAGAAUUUUCUAAGUUCAAGAGUUUUAUACAGUACCUGAAGGUGGCUGGCAACAUUUUCUCUAGUAAGUCCAGGAACAUUCAUCAACUCCAGAAUUUUCUUAGGAACAGCCUCUGUAGUAUACAUCAAUGCAAAAGCAUAAGUAUGAAAUACUGCAACAGGAAUUGGAAAUGUAAAAGUGAUAUAUUGGGAGCUGCCAUACACAAAACUAUAUUCUGAUAAUAAAUGAAAAAGAAGGACAACUUCAAAGUCCAAUAUAAAUAUAUUUAAUGCGGUUCUCAGUCCGAAUUAAGAUAGAAAAGACAAGAAUACAGAAUACGGUGUCCUUUUCUCAUCCCCUGUCUGAAUGGGAGUGCUAGGUAUUUAGGUAUGUAAUCAUAAGAAGCUAACAAGCAUCUGCAAAUAGAAAGAUAAGGUCCAAAGAAUCUUACUGUCAAUGCCUAGCUGGUUAACGGCAGACACAAACUGUUGAUGGAGCUCAACUGACCAAACUACACGCGGUUUCUUUAAAGUGGAUGUAUCAUCCCUCUCUUCAAUUUCUUCUUCCUCAUCUUUCCUCCUCUUUGAGGUUCUCCAAUUUCCUUCAUUUGCUGAGGACGAAUAAUCCGCUUCUUCAGAUGGUUUUGGUUGCGGAUCUCCCUCUUCCACACUUCCUGACUGCUCCAAGUCCUUCCACUCGUUCUUCCUCUUCCGAACCACAUGCUGCCAUAUGUUCUUCAGUGCCUCAAUUCGAACUGGCUUAAUUAAAUAAUCACAAGCACCGUGAGUAACACCUUUCAUGACAACUUGUUUGCUAUCAUCCGCAGACAUCACUGUACAAUUGCACAAGUCAGAUUCAAUUAACAGAAUCAAAGUCCUCAAAAGAGAGUCAUUGAGUAGGCUGCUUACUGAUAACCGGCAGGUCCAUCUCCAGCCCGACCUGCUCAAGGAGUUUGAAUCCAUCCAUAUCUGGCAUAUGAACCUCACUGAUAACAAUGUCGUACCCAUUCUUGUUCGUUCGAAGCAUAUCCAAAGCAAUCUCUGCUCGAUUGCAUUUUGCAACUGAAAACCCCAUGUUAAGCUUAAUCAACAAUUCAUACGGUUACUUGAUUACACAACUUUAAAUCUACAGAAAGUACAGGCCUACAAAAGAACUCUCUUGAUCCACAUAUGAACAAAUCAAAUCACCGACUGAUUACCGAAACAAGCAGAACUUUCAAAGUAACUUUAAAAUUAGCUAACAUAGGAUACUUGAAAACAGAAUAAAAUAGAUUUGAAAAUAAGACCAAAUCUAAUAAAUUUCAUUUUAUUGUCAUUUCUACAACAAACCAACAGCAAAAUCAUAUCAAACACUGAAGAAUCACAAAAGAAGAACAUUCAAAGUCAACUACAUGCAAUAAAAAAC
rnacentral:lncRNA from 1 species